CUUUCUCCUUCCUCGACGAUUCUUCUUCUACCUCAACUCUCUCUCUCUUCCCAACAGAUAAAUUCCGACAAAACUGAAUCUCCAAUUGGGGUUAAAGAAGAAUGAUCGAAUUAUCUCUCUCAUGGGUGUUGGAGUUAUGUGGCUCGACUGGAGGUUUUAGUUAUUGAGCAGUCGACCUUCUUAUAACAUGUCCCUUUCACCACCUUUGGGUACGCUGAUUGAUUGCAUUUGGUGAAAUUUUCCUUUGGAUUUUUGUAUAUUUUAAAUUUCAAUUAUUGAUUCCUGCAAGUUACAUCUUAGUUAGGCAUCUAAGAAGAAGUAAGCCAUAACUGUAGUGUUUGUCGAUGUGCAACGCACGUGCACCCCACUUGUCCGUUUGUAAAAAGAACACAUUAGUGUUUGCAUCUUGAUUAAUCCCUCUUAGCAAAAAGUUGUUUUCUGGAAGCUCAAACUCUGCAGUUAAUAAUUAAAAAAAUAAUCAUUCUUAAAUGCAA